GACGAACGCUGGCGGCGUGCUUAACACAUGCAAGUCGAACGGAAAGGCCCUGCUUUUGUGGGGUGCUCGAGUGGCGAACGGGUGAGUAACACGUGAGUAGCCUGCCCUUGACUUUGGGAUAACUUCAGGAAACUGGGGCUAAUACCGGAUAGGAGCUCCUGCUGCAUGGUGGGGGUUGGAAAGUUUCGGCGGUUGGGGAUGGACUCGCGGCUUAUCAGCUUGUUGGUGGGGUAGUGGCUUACCAAGGCUUUGACGGGUAGCCGGCCUGAGAGGGUGACCGGCCACAUUGGGACUGAGAUACGGCCCAGACUCCUACGGGAGGCAGCAGUGGGGAAUAUUGCACAAUGGGCGGAAGCCUGAUGCAGCAACGCCGCGUGCGGGAUGACGGCCUUCGGGUUGUAAACCGCUUUCGCCUGUGACGAAGUGUGAGUGACGGUAAUGGGUAAAGAAGCACCGGCUAACUACGUG
rnacentral:rRNA from 1 species